GCGCGCGCGGGCGGGUGGCCCCGAGAACCAGGCUGCGUUCGCAAGGGAGUUCCCAACUCUGCAGCGCCGGGCGGUCGCGGCUAACCCCCUCCCCCGCCCCGGCACGGGUCAGGGUGGGGCGCCAAGCCCCCGCACGCCAGGCAGGUCCGCUGCGUUUACCGCGGCGGAGGGAGUGCUCUCAGGGGAGGCUGAUCCUGCGUGUGGUGUGGUGGUAGAGAAUCUAGCCACUCAAGAAAGUGUGAAGAAGAAAAUAAAAACCACUGGUGCAGACAGGCACGAUAGGUCCCAUUUUACACACGCAGACACAAGCUCAGAGGGGUUAGGGCACUGGCUCCUGGCGGCCCAGCGGGCUUGCACGGAUCCCAGAGCGGUCUGGAUUUAGUGUGACGCUCCCUGCGACAGGUGCAACACUCCUCUAGCUCUAGGUUCUGAACACGUGUUCUUUAAGCCAGCCACCUGGGGGCCGUGUGGCUGGGCCCGCGGCGGCGCCCACGAAGCUGGGUUCAGGUCUUGACUCUGUGACUCACCAUCUGCGUUACCUGGAGCACGUGGUUGGACUUUCAGACCUCACUCACCAGUGGAGGUCCAAGUGAAACAGUUGUAACUUGGGUUUGCUGAGCGCGAGGUCCCAACUACCGGGUGACAAAAAAGGGGAAGGGAUCUAACAUUUGUUAAACACCCAUCACUGUCUUCUAGCCAGGCACGCGACGCAUAAUAUCUCAUUUAAACCUCGCACCGCUCCGCCAGCGGCUGUUACCAGUACCCUUUUUGGCCUCAGGGAAACCGAGUUCGUGAUUGGUCGAUCCGUGCGGGGAAUGGAUCCCCGGCUCUUUGACCUCUUCACCGAAAAGAGGAAAGGGCAAGCCUCAAGGGGCCGCUGGGGCAGGCAUUACACCCGAGCUAGCCUGAGAUCUCUCUGGGGAAUGGCCUUGAGGACGUCCGGGGCUCUAACAAAUAUUGCCUCAAAGUUGGGGCUUCUUGUAAAACCCGGCGAAGGAGCUGGAGGGCCGGAGGCGAGCAGGAGGAGGAGGGGAGGCUGAUGUGGCAAUCCAGCGGGCAGGGAGAAAGGGGGAAGGAAGGUCAGGAAAUGAUUAACCGGGCCGGGCCGGGUAGUGGUUAGAGCAGGGCACCUCCCCGCAGUGCAGUCCCGGAGGAGCCCCAGGGACGCCCUCCUGGUCACUUGUCACGCCUUCGCAUUGUCCCCCUCCCCCGCUUACACACCCUCCGCCGAGACUCGGCUUCGGGCUGCUUCUGCACGCUCCUCUGCCCGGGGAUGUUCAGUCACCUGGGACAUCUCCGCAGAGAUGUCCCAGGUGACACCCCCCGCCCCGCCCCGCCGUCAUAUUUUGGAAUUAAAGCUCUUCUGUCGCUUCCCAAGGCCCGGUCUGGGGAUUUUAUGACAGUGAGGAGUUGUGCAAGGUGCUCAAAUCCUAGCUCUGUCGCCUACUUGAUGGCCAAUUUUAUCAAAUGUCUCUGGUCCUCCCAAGCCUUUUUCUUCUCCUUUUUUCAAAAUCUGGAAAAAUAAUUCUUUUCUCACAAGGAAGAUGUGAGCAUUCAUGAGAAUUGCCAACACUUAGUAGGUAGCCAAUAAUGUAUAGCUUUUUUUCCUUUUUAAUAGCCCAUGAGGGCAUAAUACCCUAGAAAGGGAAUGAAUAAACAAUAAAUCGGACCUUUGCUCGAUCUGACCUUCCAGCCCUCUCCGUUUCUUCUAACAAGGCCUGGCUCCACCAACCUCUGAUUCAUUCUAGACUACUACCCCCCAUUUAGCAUCCAUACCCUCUCAUUUAGCCAUGGAGCAUGCGGUGACCCAUGUCCUCUUCCACAAACAGUAUGCGAUGCUUCUUUUUCCACCUUCUGAGAGACUCAGUUUCCUUAUCCUCUAGACCUCAGUUUAAGCAUCACUUCUCAAGGAGGCCUUUCCAGACUCCACUCCACCCCCAGGUUACCUCCAGACCUGUGAUGCCCUCCUCUGCCCUCACACUCUGCCUUUUUAAGACAUCUUCAUGCAUAUAAUUAUUUAUUGAAUGUCUGUCUCCCCCUUGGAGGUCCAUAAGGGUAGCAAGCAGGUCUGAGUGGUUUCCCCGCUGUAUUCCUGACGGAACAUGUGGAAUCUGGAGGAUGUCCAACAAAUAAGUCUAAAAUAAUGAAUGAGUGAGAGAUUGAUUAGCAAUGUCUACUAGGGGCAGGAGUAUAGGAAGUGGCCAAGUAUAUGUCAGGUGUUUUCUCCCCCUCUUAAUCCCCAAGUAAUCUCUAAAUUUCCAUUUGGCUCUGAGUUUAUCAUGUUCACGGUAUUAGGAAUGUGAAAGUACCUAAGGUGUAAACUGCAUUAAAAAAAAUAAAAGAGGAGGAGGAGGAGGAGGGAGAAGAAGAAGAAGAAGAAGAAGAAGAAGAAGAAGAAGAAGAAGAAGAAGAAGAAGAAGAAGAAGAAGAGGAGAAGAAGAAGAAGGAGAAGAAGGAGGAGGAGGAGAAGAAGAAAAGAAGAAGAAAUGAUUUUCAUUAGCGUCUUCUCCUUCCAACUAGAAAACUCCUCUGAGCAGAGCCCCUAAUUUAGUCAUCAUUCACUGCUAAAGUCCCCAGAGGGCGAACUAUGACUUUCGAACAGUCCAGAGAAGCUGGGCAAAAUCAGAAAGGCCCUCCCAGGACUUUCAAUACAUUUCCCUAAAACAGAGAACUUUCCUGUGUCUCUGAAAGUUUUCAUAAUUUAAAAAAAAAUUUUUUUUUUGGACAACAACAAAAAAACCCCUUCGCGCUCUGGUGCACGGGGAGCCGUGGGGGUGACCAGCCAGCCUCCAGCUCGGGGCCCCAGGGAAUGCGGCCGCGGGGAACCAGUCCCCGCCCCGCCCCGAGACCCAGCGCGGGGAUGGCGGCGCUCCUGCCAGAAGCCGAGGGUGUGUUUUAAAAGUUUGCACCUUUCCGAGGAGAGGAAUACAGGAUUUCAACCAAGCUAGCAAAUGUUUCUCUUCUAAAAGGCUCUUCCAUGAGAACAGAGACCUUUCCAGUCCUGCUCAUUGCCUGAUUUUCAGUUCCUGGAACUCGGCCUGGUACAGGGCAGGUCCUCCGUAACUACUCGGAUAACUGAAUGGAGGGUGGAGGGCGUGGCCUUUAGCCGGGCUGCGCUCUCCCCGGCUCUCAGGAAUCCCCGCAGUGUCAUUCUCCCACUUCUCUCCAGCGACCCCUUUCGCAUUAUCUCCCUGCCUAAAAUUAUUCAGUGGCUCCCCAUCUCUGGAAAGCUAAAGUCAAUCGAAAACCCUCUGCGGGGGCACCUGGGUGGCUCAGUGGUUGAACAUCUGCCUUUGGCUCAGGCCCUGAUCCCGGGAUGAGUCCUGCAUCAGGCCUAUGUCCAAAGGGAGCCUGCUUCUCCCUCCUGCCUAUGUCUCUGCCUCUCUCUGGGUGUCUCUCAAGAAGAAAUAAAAUAAAAUCUUAAAAAAAAAAAAAAAAGGAAAACCCAUAGUCAACCUAUCCUUUCUCAUUUGCUAAAGCUAUUAUUUAUUUGUUUGUUUGUUUGUUUUAUUGUUCAGCGGUAUCAAAAAUAGCUUCCUCAUUAUAGAAAACGUGCUUCCUCGCACCUGUGUGCCCUCCCCCACCUGUUUCUCUUCUACCUGGCCAGCUCCUACUCCUUCCCUAUUGAAGCAUGUAACCUCAAGGAAGCCCUCCACCGCUCACCUAAGCGGACUUCUAAGUCCCCACCCCCAAACCCACCACCCAUUCUGUCCCAUUAGCCUGUCACACAGUACUGUUACUUUCUGUUUACCGCUCAGUCUCCCUUGAGAACAGAUGCUUUUCUUUUUCUCUAUGGAUACUAGGCACCUAGUUCAGCAAUAGUAGAUGUUAAGAAAAGAUCAUAUUUGUCGACUAAAUGUUGAAAAGUGCCCCCUUGGAGAGUGACUAUAUCAAUCAUUGUGAGUAACGGUCCCCUAGGUAUUCACAGAAAGACUUGCAAUUAUGUAAUAACAGAAACUUAACGUUUAUUGGGUCCCAAAUAGGUACCAAAUACUGUAUCAAGUGGUUUUCAUUUCUUCUUUAAUCCCCACAACAAAACUGCGAGGUAGAUAUUAUCACUUUCAUUUUACUGGUGAAAGAACUAAAGCUCAAAGAAGGUGAAAUAAGUGCACAAAUGUACACAAUUAGUACUUGGUCUUUUAUCAAAAGUGUUAGAAUUUCACCCCUCAUGUACAUGGUCAGCUAAAGGGUUUUGCAAUAUUAUGUGGGGGUAGCUGAUGUUCCUAAUCAUGAGGUCUCUUAAGCACAACAUGACACAAAAGAGCCUUCUGAGUAACUAAAGAAUCAUUUUGUACCAUUGUAAUAAUCAUUAUGUCAUCAAUAUUUUAAUUUGUAUUGCUUUUAAUGCUUUCUUCUUUAUCGAAAUAUGAAUU